AUGAUUCACUUCAUACGUUCUCGGUCAUUGAUGACCGUUCUUUGCUCCUUCUGGGGCAUUGAGGGAGAGGAUAUGAUCAGAGUGGU
rnacentral:sRNA from 14 species